rnacentral:tRNA from 2 species
GCCAGUGUAGCUCAGUGGUAGAGCAGAGGACUCAUAAGCCUUUGGUCGCGUGUUCAAAUCACGCCUCUGGCACCA